CUCAACGGGGUGCCCAAAUGGCUGAGAAUGUUGGUUAACAUAACCCGUCGAACCUGAACUGGAUCAUGCCAGCGGAGGGAUUUGAGUUA
rnacentral:ncRNA from 1 species